rnacentral:lncRNA from 10 species
CGGCGCGCGGGGCCGAGAGGAGGCGGGCAGGCUGGUGGGCUGGGCGGGCGGCGAGCGGCCGGGAGCGCGCGGUGGACUCGGCCGCGGCGAGUAGUUAGUUAGUUGUUGUUAGUCAGUGUCAGUUGCUCGGCGGCGGCGGCCGUGGUCACCAGGAAGGGGACGGGACGGACGGUGAUGGUGGUCGCCGCGGCGGCGUGUGCGCCCCUCAGGAAAAGAAUACUUGAGAUCCAUUUGUAAGGAAAGAAAAGGAAGCAACAACAUAAUGCCCAGAGUUGGAGCCAAUUAAACCAGGUUUG